UACGUAGGGGGCGAGCGUUGUCCGGAUUCAUUGGGCGUAAAGAGCUCGUAGGCGGCUUGGCAAGUCGGGCGUGAAAUCCCCGAGCUUAACUCGGGACUGUCGUUCGAUACUGCUAUGGCUUGAGUCUGGUAGGGGAGCAUGGAAUUCCUGGUGUAGCGGUGAAAUGCGCAGAUAUCAGGAGGAACACCGGUGGCGAAGGCGGUGCUCUGGGCCAGUACUGACGCUGAGGAGCGAAAGCGUGGGGAGCGAACAGGAUUAGAUACCCUCGUAGUCC
rnacentral:rRNA from 1 species